UUUCCCUACGGGAGGCAGCAGUGGGGGAUAUUGCACAAUGGGGGAAACCCUGAUGCAGCGACGCCGCGUGAGUGAAGAAGUAUUUCGGUAUGUAAAGCUCUAUCAGCAGGGAAGAAAAUGACAGUACCUGACCAAGAAGCCCCGGCUAACUACGUGCCAGCAGCCGCGGCAAUACGUAGGGGGCAAGCGUUAUCCGGAUUUACUGGGCGUAAAGGGGGCGCAGACGGCGAUGCAAGCCAGGAGUGAAAGCCCGGUGCCCAACCCCGGGACUGCUCUUGGAACUGCGUGGCUGGAGUGCAGGAGGG
rnacentral:rRNA from 1 species